AACGAACGCUGGCGGCAUGCCUAACACAUGCAAGUCGAACGAGACCUUCGGGUCUAGUGGCGCACGGGUGCGUAACGCGUGGGAACCUGCCCUUAGGUUCGGAAUAACUCCCCGAAAGGGGUGCUAAUACCGGAUAAUGUCUUCGGACCAAAGAUUUAUCGCCUUUGGAUGGGCCGGCGUUGGAUUAGCUAGUUGGUAGGGUAAAAGCCUACCAAGGCGACGAUCCAUAGCUGGUCUGAGAGGAUGAUCAGCCACACUGGGACUGAGACACGGCCCAGACUCCUACGGGAGGCAGCAGUGGGGAAUGUUGGACAAUGGGCGAAAGCCUGAUCCAGCAAUGCCGCGUGAGUGAUGAAGGCCUUAGGGUUGUAAAGCUCUUUUACCCGGGAUGAUGAUGACAGUACCGGGAGAAUAAGCUCCGGCUAACUCCGUG
rnacentral:rRNA from 1 species